CCUUGAAAAUCUUGAUGCAAUCCUGAUUGGCAAUAGGGGGUAUUCCCGGCUUCUACUGGGUAGAGACGGUGCUUUAAAUGAUGCCCAUAUGUGCAGGAAAAUGCGGCCUGACUGCGCAGACUCAUGCUGGCUGGAAGGCUACUCAUAUUUGCAAGUAAAGGAGUACGAAAAAGCAUGUGAUUCAUUUCUUGAUGGUCUCAAAUUGAAGCCAGGAUUUGUUGGAAUCGAGAGGCAUUAAGGGAAGCUUUGAGAUUGUUGACAGAAUCUGACGCCAACAAGAAGAAUGGAUCUGAAGGACCUGCUGUAGUAUAUCGCCCCGUAUAUUUGUACCAUUGAAGAGAGCAAUUUGGCUAGUAUUUGGUCGUCUUAAACUCUUUGGCAAAUCGUCCGUUGCGCUCUGAAGAACGUGAUGCCUGCUACUGUGUAAGUAGACGGUGCUCGAACCAUGGAACACAUAUGAUGCCCUGAUUAACUGUACGUAGGUCUUUUGGCGCCGGCAGACACAGCCCUGAAUUAGGCCACGCACACUCAUAGCGAAUUGCUACAAAUUGUUGUAGCCAUGUGAUUGAUGGCACUCUGGCUCUGGGGUGAUGAUUCAGCUAGGUGAGGGUAUCAGUAGCUUUGUAGGUCAUCACACCAUACUGGUUGGUGCAUGCAGAGUUUAUUUCCUAUGACAUUUAUGUU